rnacentral:rRNA from 1 species
CUACGGGGCGCUGCAGUGAGGAAUAUUGCACAAUGGGGGGAACCCUGAUGCAGCAACGCCGCGUGGAGGAUGACGCAUUUCGGUGUGUAAACUCCUUUUAUAUGUCAAGAAAAUGACGGUAGCAUAUGAAUAAGCACCGGCUAACUCCGGCCAGCAGCCGCGGUAAUACGGAGGGUGCAAGCGUUACUCGGAAUCACUGGGCGUAAAGGACGCGUAGGCGGGUUGGAAAGUCAGGUGUGAAAUCCUACAGCUUAACUGUAGAACUGCACUUGAAACUUCUAAUCUAGAGUAUGGGAGUGGGAGAUGGAAUUAGUGGUGUAGGGGUAAAAUCCGUAGAUAUCACUAGGAAUACCUAAAGCGAAGGCGAUCUCCUGGAACAUUACUGACGCUAAGGCGCGAAAGCGUGGGGAGCAAACAGGAUUAGAUACCCCCGUAGUC